AUAUCAGUCAUGCAUAGCAUAUCAAUAAGCGGAGGAAAAGAAACUAACAAGGAUUCCCUUAGUAACGGCGAGUGAAGCGGGAAGAGCUCAAAUUUGAAAUCUUCAAGGUUCUACCUUGACGAAUUGUAGUUUAUAGAAGUGUUUUCUGUUAGUGGAGUGGCAAAAGUUCUUUGGAAUAGGACAUCAUAGAGGGUGAGAAUCCCGUAUUUGGUCAUUCCUCCUAGCGUUGUGAUACACUUUCAACGAGUCGGAUUGUUUGGGAAUGCAGUCCAAAAUGGGUGGUAAAUUUCAUCUAAAGCUAAAUAUUGGCGAGAGACCGAUAGCGAACAAGUACCGUGAGGGAAAGAUGAAAAGAACUUUGAAAAGAGAGUUAAACAGUACGUGAAAUUGUCAAAAGGGAAGCGUUUGACACCAGUGUUGUUUUUCCGAAAAUCAAUUACGAAUGUUUUAUUUUUGAGGAGUUAUGACUUCAUCGGCUUGCUCCUUUCUUUAUGAAACUUUCUUAAUGCACUUUUCGGUUAACAAGUCAACAUCAAUUUCUUUUGUUGUAAAAGGGUAUGAGGAAGGUGGCUUUCUUUUCGGAGAAAGUGUUUAUAGCCUUGUGACCUCUGCAAUCGGAGAGAUUGAGGUCUGCAGCGUAGAUCCUUCGGGGUUAGAUACAUUUGUGCUAAGUUAUAGCUUUUCAUAGACAACUUGUUGACUACUGUUGAGUCUUGUGACUUACUCGCAUGAUGCUAUUUUACCUACGCUUAGGAUGUUGAUCUCUCACAGUCGAGC
rnacentral:rRNA from 1 species